rnacentral:rRNA from 1 species
UGAGUAACCUGCCCUUCACUCUGGGAUAACUCCGGGAAACCGGGGCUAAUACUGGAUACGACCUACUCGGGCAUCCGAUGUGGGUGGAAAGAUUUAUCGGUGAGGGAUGGACUCGCGGCCUAUCAGCUAGUUGGUGAGGUAAUAGCUCACCAAGGCGACGACGGGUAGCCGGCCUGAGAGGGUGACCGGCCACACUGGGACUGAGACACGGCCCAGACUCCUACGGGAGGCA